AACGACCAGACAGAGUAAGUCCAUGUGACCGAAAUCCGUGUCAGACAGGAAGGAGAGAUCGACCGAGCCGGUAAUGCGGCUAAAUUCGUGCGGUGAUGCAAAGGAGCGGACGCUGCUUGCAUGGGUGGUGAAUUGUGCCUCAGCCACUUUCAUGCUCCCGAACUACGCAGGUAGAUAGGCACGCUACACAAAGCCUGUACGCCGCACCAACUGAUUAAACAUGGAAG
rnacentral:sRNA from 12 species